UACGGAGGGUGCAAGCGUUAAUCGGAAUUACUGGGCGUAAAGCGUGCGCAGGCGGUUGUGCAAGACAGAUGUGAAAUCCCCGGGCUCAACCUGGGAAUUGCAUUUGUGACUGCACGGCUAGAGUGUGUCAGAGGGGGGUAGAAUUCCACGUGUAGCAGUGAAAUGCGUAGAGAUGUGGAGGAAUACCGAUGGCGAAGGCAGCCCCCUGGGAUAACACUGACGCUCAUGCACGAAAGCGUGGGGAGCAAACAGG
rnacentral:rRNA from 1 species